rnacentral:rRNA from 1 species
AUUGAACGCUGGCGGCAGGCCUAACACAUGCAAGUCGAACGGUAACAGGAAACAGCUUGCUGUUUCGCUGACGAGUGGCGGACGGGUGAGUAAUGUCUGGGAAACUGCCUGAUGGAGGGGGAUAACUACUGGAAACGGUAGCUAAUACCGCAUAACGUCGCAAGACCAAAGAGGGGGACCUUCGGGCCUCUUGCCAUCGGAUGUGCCCAGAUGGGAUUAGCUAGUAGGUGGGGUAACGGCUGACCUAGGCGACGAUCCCUAGCUGGUCUGAGAGGAUGACCAGCCACACUGGACCUGAGACACGGUCCAGACUCCUACGGGAGGCAGCAGUGGGGAAUAUUGCACAAUGGGCGCAAGCCUGAUGCAGCCAUGCCGCGUGUAUGAAGAAGGCCUUCGGGUUGUAAAGUACUUUCAGCGGGGAGGAAGGGAGUAAAGUUAAUACCUUUGCUCAUUGACGUUACCCGCAGAAGAAGCACCGGCUAACUCCGUGCCAGCCGCCGCAGUAA